GACGAACGCUGGCGGCGUGCUUAACACAUGCAAGUCGAACGGUGAAAGCGGAGCUUGCUCCGCUGGAUCAGUGGCGAACGGGUGAGUAACACGUGGGCAACCUGCCCCUCACUUCGGGAUAACUCCGGGAAACCGGGGCUAAUACCGGAUAUGACCUCCUUGGGCAUCCUUGGAGGUGGAAAGCUUUUCGGUGGGGGAUGGGCCCGCGGCCUAUCAGCUUGUUGGUGAGGUAGUGGGUCACCAAGGCGACGACGGGUGGCCGGCCGGAGAGGGGGACAGGGCAACAUGGGCAUGGGCCACGGGCCAGAUUCGUGCGGGAGGCAGCAGUGGGCAAUAUUGCGGAAUGGGCGAAAGCCUGACGCAGCAACGCCGGGUGCGGGAUGGCGGCGUUCGGGUUGUAAACCGCUUUCAGCAGGGAAGAAGCCGAAAGGUGACGGUACCUGCAGAAGAAGCACCGGCUAACUACGUGCCAGCAGCCGCCGUAA
rnacentral:rRNA from 1 species